UACGUAGGGGGCAAGCGUUGUCCGGAUUUAUUGGGCGUAAAGAGCUCGUAGGCGGUCUGUCGCGUCUGCUGUGAAAACUCGGGGCUUAACCCCGGGCCUGCAGUGGGUACGGGCAGACUAGAGUGCGGUAGGGGAGACUGGAAUUCCUGGUGUAGCGGUGAAAUGCGCAGAUAUCAGGAAGAACACCCGUGGCGAAGGCGGCUCUCUGGGACGGUACUGACGCUGAGACGCGAAAGCCAGGGGAGCGAACGGG
rnacentral:rRNA from 1 species